CGCCAGCGCCCAAUGGGGCGGAGUUUGGCUGCGUGGGGCGGCUGUGCCCCACGGCGCUGCCCCACCGACCGCGCCCUCCACGGGAAUCUGCCCCAUAGCGCCGCCUCUGCCCCACAGCAACGGGUCUGCCCCAUAGCAGUGGGUCUGCCCCAUAGCGCUGGGUGUGACCCAUAGCAGUGGGUCUGCCCCAUAGCGCUGGGUGUGACCCAUAGCAGUGGGUCUGCACCAUAGCAUUGCCUCUGCCCCACAGCAACGGGUCUGCCCCAUAGCGCCGGGUGUGACCCAUAGCAGUGGGUGUGACCCAUAGCGCCGGGUGUGACCCAUAGCAGUGGGUCUGCCCCACAGCGCUGGGUGUGACCCAUAGCAGUGGGUCUGCCCCAUAGCGCUGGGUGUGGCCCAUAGCACUGGGUCUGCCCCAUAGCGUUGCCGCUGCCCCACAGCAACGGGGGUGACCCAUAGCGCUGCCCCUGCCCCAUAGCACUGGGUCUGCCCCAUAGCGCUGGGUGUGACCCAUAGCGCUGCCUCUGCCCCACAGCAAUGGGUGUGGCCCAUAGCGCUACCUCUGCCCUAUAGCGCUGGGUGUGACCCAUAGCGCUACCUCUGCCCCACAGCAAUGGGUGUGACCCAUAGCGCUACCUCUGCCCCAUAGCACUGCGUCUGCCCCAUAGCGCUGGGUGUGACCCAUAGCAGUGGGUCUGCCCUAUGGUGUUGCAUCUGCCCUAUAGUGCCGGGUCUGCCCCAUAGCACUGCAUCUGCCCCAUAGCAAAGGGUGGGACCCAUAGCAGUGGGUCUGCCCUAUAGUGCUGCAACUGCCCCAUAGCGCUGGGUCUGCCCCAUAACCUCUCCUACGAGGAGCUCUGCCCCAUAACCUCCCCCACGUGGGGCUCUGCCCCAUAGCGUAACCACGGAACACCAUCACACUAUGGGCUCUGCCCCAUAACCUCCACCAUGUGGGGCUCUGCCCCAUAGCGUAACCACGGAACACCAUCACAGUAUGGGCUCUGCCCCAUAACCUCCGCCAUGUGGGGCUCUGCCCCAUAGCGUAACCACGGAACACCAUCACACUAUGGGCUCUGCCCCAUAACCUCCCUCACGUGGCGCUCUGCCCCAUAGCGUAACCACUGGACCCCAUCACACUAUGGGCUCUGCCCCAUAACCUCCUCCAUGUGGGGCUCUGCCCCAUAGCACAACCACAGGACCCCAUCACACUAUGGGCUCUGCCCCAUAACUCCCCCAUGUAAGGCUCUGCCCCAUAGCGUAACCACCGGACUCCAUCACACUAUGGGCUCUGCCCCAUAACCUCCCCCACGUGGGGCUCUGCCCCAUAGCGUAACCACCGGACCCCAUCACAGUAUGAGCUCUGCCCCAUAACCUCCCCCACGUGGGGCUCUGCCCCAUAACCUCCCCCAUGUGGGGCUCUGCCCCAUAACCUCCUCCAUGUGGGGCUCUGCCCCAUAGUGUAACCACCGGACCCCAUCACACUAUGGGCUCUGUCCCAUAACCUCCCCCAUGUGGGGCUCUGCCCCAUAACCUCCCCCACGUGGGGCUCUGCCCCAUAGCGCAACCACGGAACACCAUCACAGUAUGAGCUCUGCCCCAUAACCUCCUCCAUGUGGGGCUCUGCCCCACAGCGUAACCACCGGACUCCAUCACACUAUGGGCUCUGCCCCAUAACCUCCCUCAUGUGGGGCUCUGCCCCAUAGCGCAACCACAGGACCCCAUCACACUAUGGGCUCUGCCCCAUAACCUCCCCCACGUGGGCCUCUGCCCCAUAACCUCCCCCACGUGGGCCUCUGCCCCAUAGCG
ensembl:lncRNA